GGUUUGAUGGCGUAGUUGGUUAUCGCAUCUGUCUAACACCGUCCAGCAAGGUUGCGAUGUUCACAGAAGGUCCCCGGUUCGAGCCCGGGUCAAAUCA